rnacentral:snoRNA from 1 species
CUCCUCUCAGGGUCUCACCUGGGGAGUUUCCAGUACUCUACCAGUCUCAACUACAGGAGGGAGAGUCAAGCAGAGGCAUACCCAUUCCAUUCCUAGCUUGGCCAGUGGCUAGCAAGUGGCAGGCAACCUGCUACAAGU